UUAUAAUGUCUACUCCAG
rnacentral:misc_RNA from 1 species